AAGGGAAAUCCAAGAAAAAAAAGCACCGAGCCUGCGCAAUGACUUCAAUGGUGUAGAAAGAAGGAAUUUUAUUAUCAUUAUCAAUUCAGGAAACUACAUUAUGCAGGAACCCAAACAAACAUUUUAGUACGAAACAUGUCCGGUUCUAGCCGAACACCAAAGACCAAUAGUGAUCACAUUCGAAAAACUCUGUUUCAAACCCCAGUUCUCGAAAACAUGCGUUAUGCUUCUAAUAAUACUAAUAAAAUUUUAAAUAUAAUGAGUAAAUUGCAAGUAGAGAGAGACACUGAAAUAUUUAUUAAAGAAGGUGUAAAAGAAGCACACGAAGGAAGAUUAAAGGAGUUGAAAGAAUUAGUAAAAACAUUAGAAGACG